rnacentral:lncRNA from 1 species
GAGAUUUGAGAACGCGACCAAGUGGAGAAUGUUGGAGCCAGAUUUUAAAAUCCUUGUCUUCCUUCUGCGUGCUACUUGAUCUAAAUGAGAUACGGCAAAGUCACAGAACCUGUUUUUAUGUUUUUGCCUGAUUCAUACGGGCUUCUCCGGUGAAGAUGGGCCUGAAGUAACGCUUGGGUUGCUUCUGACGUUAUAACUCAUCCUGUAGCUGCAGCAACCGUGGUCCUUGCAACCUCAUAAAAAUGUUGCCAGCAUUGUUUCGAUAGUGCUGCUUAAUUCUUGGAAGGCCUCUUUGCUUUCUUCCCUGAGGUUCUUCGGACUUCACACAUUCCAGCAGUAGCUCUCUCAGCUCCUGUCCUGCACAGCUUUGAAGUGCUGGACACAGCCCUGGUGAUGGCUUUCUGAGGAUGACACGAUGGAGGCUUCUCCAAUAGCUCUAAAACUGCGGUGUGGAAAACAUUCGGCAGCCUCAAAGAGCGGUCUUGUUGACCCCAACUAUAUCAUUUUUCAUCAAAAUCAUUCUUGUAAAGAAUGACCAGGCAACACUCUUUGAAAAUUGGAGGCCAUUUGCAGCUGCUCUCUGUUGAGGAAAGUGAAUAAUAGGGUGCCCUCAAGGAAUUGCAAAGGUAUCACUCAACAGAAACUUUCGUGUCUGAAGAAAACUAGAUCAUUUUAUCAUGUUAGAGAUUUCAGUGACUUGUAUCACCAAGAGGAGGACCAUCAGCAUGCAGUGGAGGUCUAGGCUUCAGACAUGUGAGGCACACUGAGGAGCAGCUUUAUUUGCAAGAGUCCUAAGUUAGUGGCAUGAAAGCACUGCCCUGGAAGCGAUGGAGCAGCAAGUGCUCUACCCACAUGGAAGUCUUUGGGACCUGCACUUCAAUGAGCGCAGAGAGGAAAAGGAGAGAAGAACCAACACAACUGAAGCACCUACGAGCGUCAGGCACUGGCCCAGCUGCCAUGGACCCCCGAGUUGAAGGUCGUAUAACCUCAGCCUGCCCAAAUGAACCAAGCACACAACCACAGGGGGAACCCAAGAGUUCCAGUGGGAGAGCUGGAAGAGGAGGGACCAAUGUGAGAAGUGGACACCAUAUGGCAGGAUCCAGGAUCCAAUCAGACUGAGCCCUGGGGUCACCCCAUGGAAGGAUCCAGUUGGAUCAUGCCUCCUGGCAUCACCUACUGCAAGAUCCAAUCAGAUCACACCUCCUUACCCUAUGCUUAUAAAACCCCACCCAGCCCCC